rnacentral:rRNA from 1 species
UACGGAGGGUGCAAGCGUUGCUCGGAAUUAUUGGGCGUAAAGGGUAGGUAGGUGGUCUCAUUUGUCUGGGGUGAAAGCCUUGAGCUUAACUCAAGAAGUGCCCCAGAAACGGUGAGACUAGAGUCUUGGAGAGGGUCGUGGAAUUCCCGGUGUAGCGGUGAAAUGCGUAGAGAUCGGGAGGAACACCAGAGGCGAAGGCGGCGACCUGGACAAGUACUGACACUCAACCACGAAAGCGUGGGGAGCAAACAGG